ACUCAAAUGAAUUGACGGGGACCCGCACAACCAGUGGAGCAUGUGGUUUAAUUCGAGACAAAACGAAGGACCUUACCAAGCUUUGACAUGCUAUCGUUUUAGGCAUCUGGAAACAGAAGCUGAUCUAUAUUUUAUGGAUGAUAGCACAGGUGUUGCAUGGCCGUCGUAAGUUCGUGCCGUAGGGUGUUCCCUUCAGUGGGGUAACGAACGAAACCCUUGCCCUGAGUUAAAUGUUCUCAGGGGACUACCUAAAUUUAUUUUAGGUGGAAGCAGAGGAUGACGUCAGGUCAGCAUGGCCCUUAUAGCUUGGGCUACACACAUGCUACAAUGGAGCCGACAGAGGGUAGCCAAGUCGCAAGACGGAGCUAAUCCCAUCAAACGGCUUCUCAGUGGGGAUUGAAGGCUGCAACUCGCCUUCAUGAACGCGGAAUUGGUAGUAAUCGCGCAUCAGCUAUGGCGCGGUGAAUACGUUCUCGGGUCUUGUACACACCGCCCGU
rnacentral:rRNA from 1 species